UGGAGGACCAGCGAUUUGCUCGCUCUGGAUCAAACUCCAAUGAGGUCUCAACAAACAACUUGGCCACGCUGCUAUCCCUGCUUGCCAAGCUUCUUGCCACCACUACCACAACUACAACAACUACAAAAGCACCUACAACAGCAGCUGCUACUACAUAAAAUGGAGUCUUGAACAUCAGCAAAUUUGUCAUGUGUUGAGAAAGUUGUCAUUGUUUUUUUUAUCUCAAUUUUCAAUGACAUUGGAAAUCAGUUUCCAAUAUCAUUGAAACAUGGAUCAAACCUGCUGUCAUGUUUGGUUUUGUGCCCAAUAAAGCUCAGCAAAAAAA